GCAGCAGACUAGGACUGGCCUGACUGCACCACUGGGACUGAGAGCAUACAAACAGGAACAGUUGAGGACAAAACUACAAUUACAACAAACCCUACACUGAACAGUAGGCUACAACAUAGAUAGUGUUGUGUCGUAAAUAAGCAGCUGGACGCCACUCUGACCUGAUGGGUGUGUUGCCGCCGUGUCGUCUCUCCAUAACCGACUGGCCGGUGCUCUGCAGGGAUCCCUCCCUGAAAAGAUCUCCCCCUUCCCUGGGAAAUUGAAUUAGUAGGAUGCUUCUGGAUGACUUAAUGGAUGUUCCUAUUUGUUACAGGCUUUGGUUUUUCCAUUUGUUGGUUUGAGUGAUGGGAAGGCCAAUGCAAUGAUACUGUAUGUUGCGUGGUUCUAGGUUAGAUAUUGUCCACCCUACCUCCUAACAGGCACACUGCAGGACAAAGUGGGAAACAUACUGUACAUUCAAAAUUCAACAUAUCACCUACCUCAGUCCAAAAUCUUUUG
rnacentral:lncRNA from 1 species